rnacentral:rRNA from 1 species
CCUACGGGUGGCUGCAGUGGGGAAUAUUGCACAAUGGGGGAAACCCUGAUGCAGCGACGCCGCGUGAGUGAAGAAGGCAUUCGUUACGUAAAGCUCUAUCAGUAGGGAAGAAAAAGACGGUACCUGAGUAAGAAUCCCCUGCUAACAACGUGCCAGUAGCCGCCGUAAUACGUAGGGCGCACGGCUUAGCUGGUUUUACGGGGGGUAGAGGGAGCGGAGACGGUGCGCCGAGUCUGGAGUGAAAUGCCGCAGCUUAACUGCGGAACUGCUUUGGAGACUGGCGAACUAGAGUGCGGGAGGGGUGAGCGGAAUACCUAGUGUAGCGGUGAAAUGCGUAGAGAUUAGGAGGAACACCGGUGGCGAAGGCGGCUUACUGGACCGUAACUGACGUUGAGGCUCGAAAGCGUGGGGAGCAAACAGGAUUAGAUACCCGGGUAGUC